rnacentral:tRNA from 1 species
GGAGAUUUAGCUCAGUGGUAGAGCACUUGCCUAGGAAGCGCAAGGCCCUGGGUUCGGUUCCCAGUUCCA